UACGAAGGGGGCUAGCGUUGCUCGGAAUUACUGGGCGUAAAGCGCACGUAGGCGGCUUUCUAAGUCGGGGGUGAAAUCCUGGAGCUCAACUCCAGAACUGCCUUCGAUACUGGAAAGCUCGAGUCCGGGAGAGGUGAGUGGAACUGCCGAGUGUAGAGGUGAAAUUCGUAGAUAUCGGGGAGGAACACCGGUGGCGAAGGCGGCGACCUGGGUCGAGACUGACGCUGAGGCGCGAAAGCGUGGGGAGG
rnacentral:rRNA from 1 species